UACGUAGGUGGCAAGCGUUGUCCGGAUUUACUGGGCGUAAAGAGCGCGCAGGCGGUCGUUCAAGUCGCGUGUGAAAGCCCCCGGCUCAACUGGGGAGGGUCACGCGAUACUGAUCGACUCGAAGGCAGGAGAGGGUAGUGGAAUUCCAGGUGUAGCGGUGAAAUGCGUAGAUAUCUGGAGGAACACCGGUGGCGAAGGCGGCGUCCUGGACCAAUACUGACACUGAAACGCGAAAGCCAGGGGAGCAAACGGG
rnacentral:rRNA from 1 species